rnacentral:rRNA from 1 species
GGGUGAGUAACACGUGGAUAACCUACCUAUAAGACUGGGAUAACUUCGGGAAACCGGAGCUAAUACCGGAUAAUAUUUUGAACCGCAUGGUUCAAAAGUGAAAGACGGUCUUGCUGUCACUUAUAGAUGGAUCCGCGCUGCAUUAGCUAGUUGGUAAGGUAACGGCUUACCAAGGCAACGAUGCAUAGCCGACCUGAGAGGGUGAUCGGCCACACUGGAACUGAGACACGGCCCAG